rnacentral:rRNA from 1 species
GGGGAAUAUUGGACAAUGGGCGCAAGCCUGAUCCAGCCAUGCCGCGUGGGUGAAGAAGGCCUUCGGGUUGUAAAGCCCUUUUGUUGGGAAAGAAAAGCAGGCGGCCAAUACCCGGUUGUUCUGACGGUACCUGCAGAAAAAGCGCCGGCUAACUACGUGCCAGCAGCCGCGGUAAUACGUAGGGCGCAAGCGUUAUCCGGAAUUAUUGGGCGUAAAGAGCUCGUAGGCGGUCUGUCGCGUCUGCUGUGAAAACCCGAGGCUCAACCUCGGGCCUGCAGUGGGUACGGGCAGACUAGAGUGCGGUAGGGGAGAUUGGAAUUCCUGGUGUAGCGGUGGAAUGCGCAGAUAUCAGGAGGAACACCGAUGGCGAAGGCAGAUCUCUGGGCCGUAACUGACGCUGAGGAGCGAAAGGGUGGGGAGCAAACA